GCAGUCAGUGAUGAUUUUGUUUCAAAGUUUGCCUGAUUUCACCCUAGAAUAUGAAGGCAACUCUAGUCACUACCUCUUCUGAGACCC